rnacentral:misc_RNA from 1 species
UCUCCGUUGGUGAACCAGCGGAGGGAUCAUUACAGAGUUGUUAAACUCGCAAACGAUCGUGAACGUUACCUAUUCCGUUGCUGCGGCGGGCGGCGCGGGCCCCGCGCCCGGCGCCCCCCGGCCCCCCGGGGGACCUCGCCGGUGGUAAAUCGAACCCUUGAAUUACCUGGCCUCUCUGAGUUUUCUGUACUGAAUAAGUUAAAACUUUCAACAACGGAUCUCUUGGUUCCG